rnacentral:tRNA from 1 species
GGAGGUGUGGCAGAGUGGUCGAUUGCACCGGUCUUGAAAACCGGCAAGGGGUAACCCUUCGUGAGUUCGAAUCUCACCGCCUCCGCCA